UACGGAGGAUGCAAGCGUUAUCCGGAUUUAUUGGGUUUAAAGGGUGCGUAGGUGGAAUUGUAAGUCAGUGGUGAAAUCCUGCAGCUUAACUGUAGAACUGCCAUUGAUACUGCUAUUCUUGAGUACAUUUGGAGUGGGCGGAAUGUGACAUGUAGCGGUGAAAUGCAUAGAUAUGUCACAGAACACCGAUAGCGAAGGCAGCUCACUAAACUGUAACUGACACUGAGGCACGAAAGCGUGGGUAGCAAACAGG
rnacentral:rRNA from 1 species